GGGAGAGGAGAGGCUGGGCGCAUAAGGAAAAGGAGAAGGGGACAUGCAUAAGAGGAAAUGCUGGCAGCCCUGAGAAGAAGCAAAAAAACACAGUUGUGUGCAGAGAGAGGGAAUGGGGGAGUGGCAGUGGAGUACAAAGGGAAACAACAGCUGGCUAAGGGAUAAAAAGGGAGACAGCAGCAGCUUUAAACGCUGUGCUGUGCACAGAACACAGAGAGGGACGUGGAAAUUCAGAAUCCAAAGAGUGGUACAUCGUUCAUGGUGAAUGGUCAGCACCUUAAGCCCUUUAUUUCUACUUAUGAUCCUGGUGAUGAAACUUUGUUUGUCCAGACACCUUGUGACUAUUGAAUGUUGGUUUCUUUUGUUUUUUUUGGGAAAAAAAAAAAAAAACUGCAUGAGCAAGUAAGGGCAACUCAGUGAAAUUUCCUGAGUAAGGGGCUAGGAGAUGGACGUGGUGCAUUUUCUUUUAGUUUCAAUUUUUUUGUCUUUUACUUCUCUACCCAGGUACUUUUCUACUUCUCUCAGUAUCACUCUUUUGCUUUUCUUUUCAAUCAUUGAGAACAAUGCUACCUUUUAGUUAAGGGUGGAGGAGAAGUUACUUCUUUGUUUGCAUGCUUUAGACAUAUGUUGGUCUACUUUGGGGAAGUGCUAGUAUUGAACUCAAAGCAUACUAAAUUCCUUAUUGUUGAAUCUUACAUGCUAGAAAUUGUUUUU